AGAGUUUGAUCCUGGCUCAGGACGAACGCUGGCGGUGUGCCUCAUACAUGCAAGUCGAACGAUAAGGUUCCUUCGGGAAUACAUAAGUGGCGGACGGGUGAGUACAACAUAGGAAAUCUGCCCUAAAGCGGGGGACAACAGAGGGAAACUUCUGCUAAUACCCCAUAUGAGCUUGGUUGAAAUACCAAUCUUGAAAGAUUUAUCACUUUAGGAUGAGCCUGUGCCUGAUUAGCUGGUUGGUGGUGUAAUGGACUACCAAGGCGACGAUCAGUAGCUGGUUUGAGAGGAUGAUCAGCCACAAUGGGACUGAGACACGGCCCAUACUCCUACGGGAGGCAGCAGUAGGGAAUUUUGCGCAAUGGGGGAAACCCUGACGCAGCAACACCGCGUGAAUGUUAAGCCCUUCGGGGUGUAAAGUUCUGUCAGUAGGGAAGAACAAAUGACUGUACCUACAAAGGAAGCACCGGCUAACUCCGUGCCAGCAGCCGCGGUAAUACGGGGGGUGCAAGCGUUGUCCGGAAUCAUUGGGCGUAAAGCGUUCGUAGGCGGUAAAGUAAGUCAGAUGUUAAAGCCCGGGGCUCAACUCCGGUUCGGCAUUUGAUACUACUUAACUGGAAUGCGGUAGAGGUUAAGGGAAUUCCUGGUGUAGCGGUGAAAUGCGUAGAUAUCAGGAAGAACAUCGGUGGCGAAAGCGCUUAACUGGGCCGUUAUUGACGCUGAGGAACGAAAGCCGGGGGAGCAAAUGGGAUUAGAUACCCCAGUAGUCCCGGCUGUAAACGAUGAACACUAGGUGUUGCGGGUAUCGACCCCUGCAGUGCCGCAGCUAACGCGAUAAGUGUUCCGCCUGGGGAGUACGCACGCAAGUGUGAAACUUAAAGGAAUUGACGGGGACCCGCACAAGCGGUGGAACAUGUGGUUUAAUUCGAAGCAACGCGAAGAACCUUACCAGGACUUGACAUUGAUAGAAUCCUGAUGAAAGUCGGGAGUGCCCUUCGGGGAACUUGAAAACAGGUGGUGCACGGUUGUCGUCAGCUCGUGUCGUGAGAUGUUGGGUUAAGUCCCGCAACGAGCGCAACCCUUGUCGUUAGUUGGUCAUAGCGGUAUACUUCUAUGCACCUCUCUAGCGAGACUGCCGGUGAUAAACCGGAGGAAGGUGAGGACGACGUCAAAUCAUCAUGCCCCUUACGUUCUGGGCUACACACGUGUUACAAUGGCCGGUACAACGAGCAGCGAACUCGCGAGGGCAAGCAAAUCUCUUAAACCCGGUCUCAGUUCGGAUUGCACUCUGCAACUCGAGUGCAUGAAGUCGGAAUCGCUAGUAAACGCAGAUCAGCACGCUGCGUUGAAUACGUUCCCGGGUCUUGUACACACCGCCCGUCACACCAUGGGAGUCGACCACGCCCGAAGUACGUGAGCUAACCAUUUGGAGGCAGCGUCCUAAGGCAGGGUUGGUAACUGGGGUGAAGUCGUAACAAGGUAGCCGUACCGGAAGGUGUGGCUGGAUCACCUCCUU
rnacentral:rRNA from 1 species